rfam:Metagenome sequence AHAI1282.g1, whole genome shotgun sequence.
AGUAAUGUCGCGCAUGGAUGCGCGCCCAAGCCAUGCUUGUACAUGGAUGUACUAUCAUGGCGUUUACGUUCACAACAAUUAAUUAUUUG